rnacentral:antisense_RNA from 1 species
GUGGGAGGGGGCUUGCUCCCGAAGACGGAGGGUCAGCAAGUCCAUUUUUGGCUGGCACACCGCCUUCGGGAGCAAGCCCCCUCCCAC